rnacentral:rRNA from 1 species
CGGCUGAUUAAGUCGGAUGUGAAAUCCCUGAGCUUAACUUAGGAAUUGCAUUCGAUACUGGUCAGCUAGAGUAUGGGAGAGGAUGGUAGAAUUCCAGGUGUAGCGGUGAAAUGCGUAGAGAUCUGGAGGAAUAACGAUGGCGAAGGCAGCCAUCUGGCCUAAUACUGACGCUGAGGUACGAAAGCAUGGGGAGCAAACAGGAUUAGAUACCCUGGUAGUCCAUGCCGUAAACGAUAUCUACUAGCCGUUGGGGCCUUUGAGGCUUUAGUGGCGCAGCUAACGCGAUAAGUAGACCGCCUGGGGAGUACGGUCGCAAGACUAAAACUCAAAUGAAUUGACGGGGGCCCGCACAAGCGGUGGAGCAUGUGGUUUAAUUCGAUGCAACGCGAAGAACCUUACCUGGUCUUGACAUAGUAAGAACUUUCCAGAGAUGGAUUGGUGCCUUCGGGAACUUACAUACAGGUGCUGCAUGGCUGUCGUCAGCUCGUGUCGUGAGAUGUUGGGUUAAGUCCCGCAACGAGCGCAACCCUUUUCCUUAUUUGCCAGCACUUCGGGUGGGAACUUUAAGGAUACUGCCAGUGACAAACUGGAGGAAGGCGGGGACGACGUCAAGUCAUCAUGGCCCUUACGACCAGGGCUACACACGUGCUACAAUGGUCGGUACAAAGGGUUGCUACCUAGCGAUAGGAUGCUAAUCUCAAAAAGCCGAUCGUAGUCCGGAUUGGAGUCUGCAACUCGACUCCAUGAAGUCGGA